GGGCCGUUAGCUCACUUGGUAGAGCGUCGCCAUGGCAUGGCGAAGGCAACCGGUUCGAUCCCGGUACGGUCCACCA
rnacentral:tRNA from 1 species